UAUUAUGAAAUGCAUUUUCUCUGUUGAAAGGUUGGGGAGAAAGCUGAAUGCCUUUGACACUGCCUAUACCACUUUAUCUGCCUUCCUGCCUCUUGAUAACACUGGGAGUACUUGAAGGAACCUCUGGGUGACAAGGAAUACCCUUUGAAGACCACAAGAUCAGAUGACCUACAUGCUCCCUUCCAGCUAUAUGGUAACCUAAGCUGUGGAAAAAAGAGACCAUCUGGAAAGAAUGCUGCGGUUUCACAGAGCCAACAUUAUUCUCUACCUCCCCUUCCUCUUCCUCUUUCUUUAUGGAUGGCAAACAGCGUUCAGAUGACAGAUUUUGGAAAAUUGUCUUAGGAGACGCAUUCUCAGGCAGUUCCAGUGUAUUGGUAUUUUGGAUGUUUCUCUGCAUUUUGUCAUAUGGUUCAGAAGGGUGAUAGGCUUUCUGUGAACUGCUGGGCUUCAAGAAGGCUAUUAUCUUCCACUCAGGUUUAAUGGAGGAAUUUAUGGGAUUUUGCCACCUUGUGAGGUUCAGUGCUAGAAUUUCUGCAUUGGAUGGAUCAAGAAUCUACGGGGAGCCAAGUCACUUAAAAGUAUCAGUUACUCCCAAUAUUCCCUUCAUCUAAUGAAGUUCCUCCAAAUUUCAUGAUCCUUGUGACAAUCCACCCCAGACUAUGGUGAGAGACCCAGAGCUGCAGCAGUUUUGGUUGUGGUUAUUCUGACAUUGACCCGAAGGGAGCAAGAAUGUUUCUCAGGAGGUAAGAAAUUGCUAAAGAAAACUUUAAAAUGAUCCAAAAAGUGUUAUCCACCACAUGUUGCAGGGUAUGGUCCAUAAAAUGUGAGUUUCUUUCUCUCUUGUUUCUCCAGACUUUAGUGAAAGCUUUAGCUUGUAGGAUGCUUUGAGGCCAUGCCUGGUAUCCAUGGCAGGUCAGACAA